GACGAACGCUGGCGGCGUGCUUAACACAUGCAAGUCGAACGGAAAGGCCCUGCUUUUGUGGGUUGCUCGAGUGGCGAACGGGUGAGUAACACGUGAGUAACCUGCCCUUGUCUUUGGGAUAACUUCAGGAAACUGGGGCUAAUACCGGAUAGAAGCUCCUGCUGCAUGGUGGGGGUUGGAAAGUUUCGGCGGUUGGGGAUGGACUCGCGGCUUAUCAGCUUGUUUGUGGGGUAGUGGCUGACCAAGGCUUUGACGGGUAGCCGGCCUGAGAGGUUGACCGGCCACAUGGGGACUGAGAUACGGCCCAGACUCCUACGGGAGGCAGCAGUGGGGAGUAUUGCACAAUGGGCGGAAGCCUGAUGCAGCAACGCCGCGUGCGGGAUGACGGCCUUCGGGUUGUAAACCGCUUUCGCCUGUGACGAAGCGUGAGUGACGGUAAUGGGUAAAGAAGCACCGGCUAACUACGUG
rnacentral:rRNA from 1 species